CGGAACGGGUGAGUAACGCGUGAGGAACCUGCCUCAAAGAGGGGGACAACAGUUGGAAACGACUGCUAAUACCGCAUAAGCCCACGGGUCGGCAUCGACCUGAGGGAAAAGGAGCAAUCCGCUUUGAGAUGGCCUCGCGUCCGAUUAGCUAGUUGGUGAGGUAAUGGCCCACCAAGGCGACGAUCGGUAGCCGGACUGAGAGGUUGAACGGCCACAUUGGGACUGAGACACGGCCCAG
rnacentral:rRNA from 1 species